GUGCCAGCAGCCGCGGUAAGACGGAGGGUGCUAGCGUUGUUCGGAAUUACUGGGCGUAAAGGGCGCGUAGGCGGCCGCUUAAGUCGGGUGUGAAAGCCCGGGGCUCAACCCCGGAACUGCAUCCGAGACUGGGUGGCUGGAGACCGGGAGAGGAGAGUGGAAUACCCAGUGUAGAGGUGAAAUUCGUAGAUAUUGGGUGGAACACCGGUGGCGAAAGCGGCUCUCUGGCCCGGUUCUGACGCUGAGGCGCGAAAGCGUGGGGAGCAAACAGGAUUAGAAACCCCCGUAGUCC
rnacentral:rRNA from 1 species